AUAGAGUACUAGAGUUUGAUCAUGGCUCAGAUUGAACGCUGGCGGCAUGCCUUACACAUGCAAGUCGAACGGCAGUGCGGGGCAACCUGGCGGCGAGUGGCGAACGGGUGAGUAAUAUAUCGGAACGUACCCUGGAGUGGGGGAUAACGUAGCGAAAGUUACGCUAAUACCGCAUACGAUCUAAGGAUGAAAGUGGGGGAUCGCAAGACCUCAUGCUCCUGGAGCGGCCGAUAUCUGAUUAGCUAGUUGGUAGGGUAAAAGCCUACCAAGGCAUCGAUCAGUAGCUGGUCUGAGAGGACGACCAGCCACACUGGAACUGAGACACGGUCCAGACUCCUACGGGAGGCAGUAGUGGGGAAUUUUGGACAAUGGGCGCAAGCCUGAUCCAGCAAUGCCGCGUGAGUGAAGAAGGCCUUCGGGUUGUAAAGCUCUUUUGUCAGGGAAGAAACGGCCUGUUCUAAUACAGCGGGCUAAUGACGGUACCUGAAGAAUAAGCACCGGCUAACUACGGUGCCAGGCCGGC
rnacentral:rRNA from 1 species